UCUAGAGCUAAUACAUGCAGUUUUGGGAGAGCGCAAGCUGUCUCACGGCAUUUAUUGGACAAAACCAACUACCGGCGUAACGGCUUGCUGUUGCGAUGCGUAAGGUGAAUCUAGAUAACUUUGCUGAUCGUAUGGCCUAGUGCCGGCGACGUUUCAAUUGAAUUUCUGCCCUAUUAACUUGUUGGUAGUAUAGUUGCCUACCAAGGUUGCGACGGGUGACGGGGAAUCAGGGUUCGAUUCCGGAGAGGGAGCCUGAGAAACGGCUACCACAUCCAAGGAAGGCAGCAGGCGCGCAAAUUACCCAAUCCAGACAAUGGGAGGUGGUGACGGAGAGUACCGGAUAACUAAAGUAUUUUUAGUUAGUCUGGAAUGAAAUCAAUUUAAGUAAUUGAGUUGAGUAACUACUGGAGGGCAAGCCUGGUGCCAGCAGCCGCGGUAAUUCCAGCUCCAGUAGCGUGUCUCAAAGUUGCUGCGCUUAAAACGCUCGUAGUUGGAUGAGAAACUGCGCAUCGGAUAGUUAUUUUCUAGGUGAAUGAGCUACAUAUUAUUGUAUUGCGAUGUUUAACAUCCAAUACUUAUUGAUAUUAGUUUAACUAGAAAUAACAUAAAACCGAUGCGCAGUAAUUGCGUAUGAGGAUGACCAUUGACCUUAAGUGUGUUGAAGGUCGUGUCUCAUGGGAUGUGCCUUGAGUAAAUCAGAGUGCUCAAAGCAGGCGUGAUGCCUGAAUGUUGAUAGCAUGGAACGAACAAAUGUGUAGAUGUGUAUUGAUUAUGGUAGUUGUUGUUAGCAAUAGCAACCUACUACAAUAUGCAACACCGACCGCCAAUUACGGAUGUUGGUUCCGUAUUGGGGUACUGAUUAAAAGGAGCGGUUGGGGGCAUUGGUAUU
rnacentral:rRNA from 1 species